CGGAGGGGCUAGCGUUGUUCGGAAUUACUGGGCGUAAAGCGCACGUAGGCGGACUGGAAAGUUGGAGGUGAAAUCCUGGGGCUCAACCCCAGAACUGCCUUCAAAACUAUCAGUCUGGAGUUCGAGAGAGGUGAGUGGAAUUCCGAGUGUAGAGGUGAAAUUCGUAGAUAUUCGGAGGAACACCAGUGGCGAAGGCGGCUCACUGGCUCGAUACUGACGCUGAGGUGCGAAAGCGUGGGGAGCAAACAGGAUU
rnacentral:rRNA from 1 species